UACGGAGGGUGCAAGCGUUAUCCGGAUUCACUGGGUUUAAAGGGUGCGUAGGUGGGUUGAUAAGUCAGUGGUGAAAUCCCCGAGCUUAACUUGGGAACUGCCAUUGAUACUAUUGAUCUUGAAUACCGUGGAGGUCAGCGGAAUAUGUCAUGUAGCGGUGAAAUGCGCAGAUAUCGGGAGGAACACCAGUAGCGAAGGCGGCACUCUGGGCCGGUACUGACGCUGAGGAGCGAAAGCGUGGGGAGCAAACAGG
rnacentral:rRNA from 1 species